CUCUUAUUAUGCUGGUGUAUGUCUGGUUUUAUAUUAUUGCUUAAUAGCUGAAUUUGUGUAUAUUUCUAUUUAAGCCAAGCUAUGUGCUGUAUGUAAGAGAUUCUUAUGCGUUACAUUUAUAGUUUUACAAUUUGAAAAAUUGUUUUUAUUUUAGGACUCGGUAGUAAUUAAAAAUUAAUUUGUUUUAGUGAAUUAGGUUUAGCUUGGGUACACACCGCCCGUCAA
rnacentral:rRNA from 1 species